rnacentral:tRNA from 1 species
UGGUCUAGUGGUUAGGAUUCGUGGCUCUCACCCACGCGGCCCGGGUUCGAUUCCCGGUCUGGGAA